GACAGAGGGUGCAAACGUUGUUCGGAUUUACUGGGCGUAAAGCGCGUGUAGGCGGCUUUGCAAGUCGGAUGUGAAAUCCCACGGCUCAACCGCGGAAGUGCAUCCGAAACUGCAUCGCUGGAGUCUCGGAGAGGAAGGUGGAAUGCUUGGUGUAGAGGUGAAAUUCGUAGAUAUCAAGCAGAACACCUGCGGCGAAGGCGGCCUUCUGGACGAUGACUGACGCUGAGGCAUGAAAGCGUGGGGAGCAAACAGG
rnacentral:rRNA from 1 species